GGAGGGGGAGGGUGGAGUCGCAUCACAGUCAAUACGCACUUUCUCCGUCACGUCUCUCUUAUUUUUUUUAAACAAUACCAGAUCAGCUAAUGGGCGAGGGAAGUCCUUCGUUUAUAUUUUAGGAAAGUCUUACAGAUGCACGCCGAUCUAAUGGUCGGAGAGUCAACCGGAUAUAGGUUGAAAUCCGAUCGACGGGAGCCGAGUCUAUCUCUAUACACAUACACAC
rnacentral:lncRNA from 1 species